AUCUUUGAAGUGAAAGACCCCCGGAGUGGGGAGACCCUCACUCAAGUCUCGGGAUGACCCAACCCCCCAAGAACUCACACAAGACC
rnacentral:pre_miRNA from 14 species